AUUGAAAAGUAAUUUUUACCACUUUAGUUAGCUAAAUGCUAAUCCAUUACACUCUCUUAUAACUUAUAAUGUACUUAGAUGAGACUUCUUUAACUUCAUAGUUUGCUACUGACCAUGAUGGAGGCUGCAUAAGUAUCUGAGUGAUGCUCCUUCAAAUGUUGUGUUCUUCACCUAAUUUCUAGCCACAUUGUUUGUAGCAUGUUGUUAGUUUUGGUGGGCUAACCCUAACUAAUGACAGGAACGCAUCUCAUCAUAGUUUCUAUAACUGGUUUGUCAAAAAUACAUUUUCCACAAUCAAUAUAUUUAGUUGGAACUUGUUUUUCCAGAUGCAGACGUAGUUAGAACCUGGACAGAUGCGUCACUGAUUCCCAGAGUCGACCAAACUCCAGAUUCAAAGAACAGGACAGACGUUGAUCUUGGUGGUCAUUCACAUGUACCACUUGUGAUUGCCGUGGUUGUCAUUGUAAUCCUCGCGACUCUUGGUGUUUAUCUCUUCAUAAAACGGCGUCAGAAAGAGACUGUCAAGUAUAAAGCUUCCCCAAACACGAUGCAACCAGCCUGAGAGCCUGGCUUAAAAAAAGCUGUUAAUGGACAUGAGAGGAGGACCAACAGGAGCAAGAUCACCUCCCGCUGACACAAACCAAGUCCAACCUGAAGACGCUGUUGACAGCAACAAGGACGAUCUUGAAGAAGAAUCGAUUAGUUCUUUGCCAAACGUCUGAAGAGCUUCUCAGAUGCCCAAAAAUCCACAAAACCUCAGGUUGGAAAAUCUCAGUCUGGACUCUCUCCACUGGGAACGGAUUCUGCUGGACCAAUCAGAUCGCUCGGGGGCGUGGUUUAACAGUAGUCAUACACCUCACCUGAGAAACUGACAGGAAAUGACUUAAAAGGACGAAAAGCUGACAGUUGUGCACAGAAAUAGUUCUGUGGCUCUGAUUGGUUGAAGGACUGUCCAGUGGCU